GACGAACGCUGGCGGCGUGCUUAACACAUGCAAGUCGAACGGUAAGGCUCCAGCUUGCUGGGGUACACGAGUGGCGAACGGGUGAGUAACACGUGGGUGACCUGCCCUGCACUUCGGGAUAAGCCUGGGAAACUGAGUCUAAUACCGGAUAGGACCGCACCGUGAGGGUGUGGUGGAAAGUUUUUUCGGUGUGGGAUGGGCCCGCGGCCUAUCAGCUUGUUGGUGGGGUAAUGGCCUACCAAGGCGGCGACGGGUAGCCGGCCUGAGAGGGUGGACGGCCACAUUGGGACUGAGACACGGCCCAGACUCCUACGGGAGGCAGCAGUGGGGAAUAUUGCACAAUGCGCGGAAGCCUGAUGCAGCGACGCCGCGUGGGGGAUGACGGCCUUCGGGUUGUAAACUCCUUUCACCAUCGACGAAGGGUUUCUGACGGUAGAUGGAGAAGAAGCACCGGCUAACUACGUG
rnacentral:rRNA from 1 species